rnacentral:tRNA from 1 species
GACCUCGUAGCUCAGACGAUAGAGCAUCGUUCUAGAAAUACGAAGGUCGCGGGUUCGAAUCCCAGCCGCGGUCA